rnacentral:rRNA from 1 species
GAUGAACGCUAGCGGCAGGCCUAACACAUGCAAGUCGAGGGGCAGCAUAGAAAGUAGCAAUACUUUUGGUGACGACCGGCGGACGGGUGCGUAACGCGUAUGCAACCUACCUAUUACAGGGGGAUAACGGAGAGAAAUUUCAACUAAUACCCCAUAACAUUGAUCAAGGCACCUUGAUUGGUUGAAAACUCCGGUGGUAAUAGAUGGGCAUGCGUUGUAUUAGGUAGUUGGUGAGGUAAUGGCACACCAAGCCUACGAUACAUAGGGGGACUGAGAGGUUAGCCCCCCCCACUGGAACUGAGACACGGUCCAGACUCCUACGGGAGGCAGCAGCGAGGAAUAUUGGUCAAUGGGGGCAACCCUGAACCAGCCAUGCCGCGUGCAGGAAGACGGCUCUAUGAGUUGUAAACUGCUUUUGUACAGGGAUAAAUGUGGAUACGUGUAUUCACUUGAAGGUACUGUACGAAUAAGGAUCGGCUAACUCCGUGCCAGCCGCCGCGGUAAGAC